rfam:Salmo salar isolate Sally breed double haploid chromosome ssa07, whole genome shotgun sequence.
UGCAUUCACUACUGUAAGUCGCUCUGGAUAAGAGCAUCUGCUAAAUGACAAAUG